CUUGAACGCUAGCGGGAUGCCUUACACAUGCAAGUCGAACGGAGUGGCGAACGGGGGAGUAAUGUAUCGGAACGUGCCCAGUAGCGGGGGAUAACUACGCGAAAGCGUAGCUAAUACCGCAUACUAUUGGAGCGGCCGGUAUCGGAUUAGCUAGUUGGUGGGGUAACGGCUCCCCAAGGAGACGAUCCGUAGCUGGUUUGAGAGGACGAACAGCCACACUGGGCCGUGGACCAGGCCCAGAUGCCUACGUGAGGCAGCGGUGGGGAAUUUUGGACAAUUGGGGAAACCCUGAUCCAGCCAUCCCGCGUGUGCGAUGAAGGCCUUCGGGUUGUAAAGCACUUUUGGCAGGAAAGCGGUACCUGCAGAAUAAGCACCGGCUAACUACGUGCCAGCAGCCGCGGUAAUUC
rnacentral:rRNA from 1 species